rnacentral:lncRNA from 1 species
AAAACUUGCUCAGAUUAAGGAGAGAGCCCCUGCAGCUAACGCCGCAUCCAGCGAGCAAUCUAGUGACAACCAGAACAACAUCCUGGUGGUGAGCCAGUUGAAGCUCGCCAACAUUGAGAAGAGAGCAACAAGAGUCCCCAGGCCACCUCCCCCUCGAUCAACCACUGCUUCAGGGGCUACAAAUACUGCAAGUGGAGUACAAACACCACGUCCACCAGGUGCACCUCCUCCUCCACCACCACCUCCUGGGAAAACUGGUGGCCCACCGCCACCGCCACCACCUCCAGGUGCUCUACCCAGGAGUGUUGCUGGGAGUGACAAGGUACAUCGUGCACCGGAGAUUGUUGAGUUCUAUCAAAGUCUCAUGAAGCGUGAAGCAAAGAAGGAGACAUCUCUAGGAUCAGUGUCAUCCAAUGUUUCUGACGCCAGGAGUAAUAUGAUUGGAGAGAUUGAGAACAGAUCAACAUUCCUCUUGGCUGUAAGUAUUUUCUGCUGGCGCCACGUUGCAUAAAAAUCCUGCCAAAUUUACGCAUUCCAUUAUUAAUGCAUAAUAUAACUGGUAAUCUAAAUUUAAUAUCAAAAGUAAUGGAUUUAAAAAAAAACAUGGAAUGUUUCAGGUCAAAGCUGAUGUGGAGACGCAAGGAGAAUUUGUCGAGUCUCUAGCAAGUGAGGUCCGAGCAGCAAGCUUUGUAAAUAUUGAUGAUGUCGUUGCAUUUGUAAAUUGGUUGGAUGAGGAGUUAUCCUUCUUGGUAAGUAACCCAACCAUAUUCUUCAUACAUCACAUACAAAGUAAUAGGAGACAACCUGCAAGGUAUUGUACCUAGGACACAUGUGAUCUAAUACUAAAGAGGAUCAAUAACUUUUUAGGUUGAUGAACGAGCAGUGCUAAAGCAUUUCGAUUGGCCAGAGAGCAAAACUGAUGCAAUAAGAGAAGCAUCUUUUGAGUACCAAGACCUGAUAAAGUUACAGAACAAGGUUUCAUCCUUUACCGAUGAUCGACAACUUGCAUGUGAGGAAGCUCUCAACAAGAUGUAUUCCUUGCUUGAGAAGUAAGUGUCUCAUCUGACCUAGUAUUCUCCCUAAUGUAGUUAUUCUGAAAUAAACAGGAAAUAUUUUUCCCAAGUCUAAGAUAUAUGUGAGAAACAUGAUUUACCUAAACUGAUUGUUUCACUGAACUAACUAGUGUCAUACUUGCACCAGAGUGGAGCAGAGUGUCUAUGCACUACUCCGUACUAGAGAUAUGGCCGUCUCACGGUACAAGGAGUAUGGGAUCCCAGUUGACUGGCUGUCUGAUUCUGGAGUAGUUGGCAAGGUGUGCAUCUCUAGCAUAUACCCCAUUUAUGUUCACCUGAUAAGAAACCUAUUUUAAUAAACUUAAUUUUUUUUAAAAAAAUGCAUGUCUAAUUUCCUCAUAAAGGUGAGUAUGUUAUUAGUCAGAGUAUUCAUCAAAACUAACUCAAAUUUCGUUUUAUAUGUUGGAGUAGAUCAAAUUGGCAUCUGUCCAGCUCGCAAACAAGUAUAUGAAGAGGGUUGCUUCAGAACUUGAUGCAUUGCAAGGCACCGAGAAAGAGCCCAAUAGAGAAUUUUUGCUUCUCCAGGGUGUGAGAUUCGCUUUCCGAGUUCAUCAGGUAAAUUCUCAAAUAUAUAUUGGAAACUAGUCACUUCACAGGUGAUUUCGAGUCAGUAACUUAUCCUUGACCUUCUGCAGUUUGCCGGAGGCUUCGAUGCAGAAAGCAUGAAAGCUUUUGAAGAGCUAAGGAGCAAGAUGACUACACAGACACCAGCUCCACAGAUAUCUGAAGUGUAAUUUGAACACAGGAUUCGAUACCCAUCUAGUUUGGAAAGCCAUUUUUAGUCGAUUAGCUUAAGUGUACAAAGAGAAGUGUAAAUUUCAGUGUUGCAAUGUAUAUGCUAAGAAGACAAUAAAGGUCUUCAGGUUUUGUUCAUACGUAUACCAGUUUUAGUGAAAGCGUAUACCUUUUUCAUCUGAAGGUUGUAAACUGUACACAAGCAAGUUCUUAAAAUGAAAGCUAGCAGAGAGCCAGAAAUAGUUUUGUUGGUGUUUUUGAACUGAGCAUAGUUUUGCACUUUUGCUACUAGUGAAUGUCCAUUUUGGUAUUCUGAAAAACUGAAACUAUGGAGAUUAUUGUUCCAAAUGAACCUUACUACUGAAUUUGAAAUUCUGAAGGAAUUACCCAGUCACUAACCACAGACAUACAAUGCUGAAAUAGCAGAUCUAACUUCGAGAAAUCAUAUCAGGACAAAAAUCCACCUGCAGGGAGAAGGUCGAGGUUGCGGCGGCGAGCUCCACCUGAACGGAGAAGCGACCGCUUGCAGCGGGCGACUGACUGCGCUCGGUUCGCCGCCUACUAGCCGCCGGAGCCGCCUCGGCUGGCGACAGCGAUCAGAGCGGUCAGCGGGGGCAACGUCGCUUGACUGCUUAAGUGGAUGAAAAAACAAUUGAGAGAGUGGAUGAAUCCCCCAGUCGGGGGAAAUUAUGGGGAAAAAGUCCCUUUCCCUCAACUAUCGAGAGAGAGGAGAGAAGGUACCACAUGUUACCUGAC